AUCCUUUUGGAUUCAUAAGCAUGAUGAUUGGGUAUUCAUGCCAUUGUGUGUGACAUGACUCUCAAACUUUGUUAUAACACCGGCAUACUACCCUUUUGACA